CCGGGAUCUCCGUUAUCCGCUUCAUCAGGGUGCGACCCAGGCCCUUCUUUGAGUUGCGCUUCUUUUGAAGCUUGAGGAUGAUGGUGCCGUACACGAUGGCGAAGCCCAGGAGACGGACCCACCUCAGGAGGAUGCAUCGGAACACACUGGGGUUGAAGUACAGGAUCAUCACCUGCGGAGAGAGAGACAAACAUCGUGUUUUGUUUUCUUACGAGAGCAAAAUCGCACAUAUUGUAUUCCUCUGUAGUUCACCAAAAAAAAAAAGAAAAAAAAAAGAAAAAAAGGGAGCGUUGAGUAUGAGAGAAGCAAAGCUGGAGGCAGACCUGGCAUCACAGAGCGCUCACGCCUCCACAGCUCACACCGACUGAAAGCAGCAUGUAGCUCGUAUGUAGGACACAACGUUAAAUCUCACUUAAAUUUUGCAUUUCCUCAUCUUGUUUUUGCAAAACAGAUAUUUCUUUUUCGCCUAAUUCAGAGCUGACUUUGUCUCUCCGGUUUUCAAUAAAACCUUGAAACUGGUGACAGUUCGUAGAUUAUUGUUUCCCUUCUUUCUGCUGGAUGUGAUUCUAUUUUUUUUUAUUUUUUUUUUUGCCCCCUAUUACUUAAAGUAGAGUGUGAUGGAGGCUGAGGAGACAAGUCUGGCAUACCGAGAAGAUAAGAGCUUCCAUUUGCACUUCUGUUACGGCUGCAUUUCACUUCAUUAGGGCGCAGCUCAGCAGGACGGCGCAUAUAUAAAACUUCCAGCGGCUACCAUUUCUGCACUUAAUGAAGCUUGUAUCCGCCACUUAAUUGGUGCGCUCCCUUGUGACUCUUUAUCCAUGACCCUUUUCGUAAAUUUGCAUUAUUUGGCGGUUUGAGGGAGUUGGGAUAAAUCUGCGUGCCCUUUUCCUCCCCGAGGAAAGGUUGUUAUUAAAGUCUAUGUAGUAGAUCACAGACAGACUCCGGAGGUAAAUACAAGGCAACUAACAUAGAGCAAAGUUUGAGGGUUGGCACACACAAAAAAAAAAAAAAAA